rnacentral:lncRNA from 1 species
GUAUCCCGUAGUACUUAUGUCAGAAAUUAAGCUCAAAAGGGAAAUACACAUCCAAGAGAGGAGGAGAAUAUAAGGUAACAAAUGAACGAAUUUGUAUAUUCAUAAUAAUCUCAUAAUAAGAUUACAUCGCAAUGUCGUGUAACCUUUCCUCGAUCUGUAAUACGAGCAGUAAAGAAUCUCAGAAAUGAUGAAACUGUAUAGACAACAGCAAGCAGAGACAGAGUCGUGGGGUCCAUCUAGAACAAGAUGGCGGCGGCCACCGCUCCGGCGACGAGCGCCGAAGCUGGCGGCGGAGGUGUACACGGCGGAGCUUGC